UCAGAAGAGCUGAAAUAUGGCAUUGGCAGCAUGUAGAUUUUGAUUCACUCCUCUCACUGGCGAAGUCCGCCUCUCCCUAUGCAAUGCUGAAGGAAUAUAUUCGUGCUCAUGAUGUCCCUAUUUAUCACUACAUUUGCAAACAUGACCCAGGAAGUCAGACUCCAUUAUAGCAUCAAUCACCAGUCCAAGGGGAAAUUAACCAAAAAGAGGGUUUUUCUUCCAACAGCGAGCAAGCAAACAACAACAAAAUACCAUCUUGACAAGAUACUAAAAGUUUAUAGUUUCAAAAAGGGACUGGAGAAAUGCACAGAAAUGCAUUCCUUGGAAGCUGUGGUAUUCACCUCCCACUCCAGAAGUUCUUGAACUUGAAACGACUGAAGGUUGGGAAAGCUGGUUUUCUGAAGCUGGGAAAACGUCAUGAUACGUUUACCUUGUUGUUAUAUUCCUCUACAGAAACAGGAUCCCAGCUGAGCGUAACUCCUGUAUUGCCCUCAAAACGAUUACAGGAUUUCAACCAAGGAGCAAAUACAAAUUCUAAGCCCAAUUCUUUGUCAGCUCUCUUCAUCAUAUUAUCUUCGUUAAGGCAAUUCACACAGGAGUCUCAGAGAAAAGAUGCUGUAACCUUUAAACAGAAGUGGUGAAAAGCAGUGCAAAAGACAGUAUGGAAAUGAAAAUUACCACCUUUGUCUGAAGGUUUCAAGGAAUAUAGCUAGCUCCCGUGGGAAGGAUAAGGGGUACAAUCCCUCCAGAUUUAUGGCAGAACUGACCCAGGAUACUGCAAGUAGCCACAACGGUAUUCAUGUUAAAUCAGUGCCAUCAUAGCACCGCGGAAUGACAACUGAGUCCUUACAUGCAGCACUAUACGGGGGCACCCAAAGGGAGAGCUGAAGCCCAGCACCUGCACUGGCCCCAUGGCAGAGCUGCACUGAGUUUGCUUUCCCCAGAACUGGAGACAGGGAAGCAACAAGGAGCCAAGGACUCUGGCCUAAGUCACCACCCACCAGGGCCUUAAUGAACCUAUUUCCCGGGGAAGGAAACUAUAACCUCUACUUGAAGACCACCAGAGGAGCUGGAGAUGGCAGGAAGGCCGCUCCCAGGAGCUACAUGGGAUGCAGAUUGCACACUACCAAAAUAUUGCUACCAUGAGAAAAGCAAUUCUGAUUACAAUGUAGCUCAUGUAAUGGCAGUAUAUAUCAAACAAUACAUACCGCCUAAAGAGUAAUAUCCGUAUAUCUGUAAUACUGUAAUAUCUAACUUUGCAAUAGUGAUAGGAAGUACAGACACUGUUGUAAAUGGCUCAAGUGGGAUCACACGUGGGACAGUCUGCAGAGUUUCAUUUUCAUGGAGUCAAGGAAGAUGGAUUUAAAUUGAAGCAGAUACAGGAAUCACAUUAGAGAAAACUAUAGGAGCACAGCUUACUUAGGCUGGCAGAAUAAAAGAUAUGGUGGAGAACUGAAAAAAAGUCAAAGAACCCAGCAGAACAAUAAAAAUGAGAAGAUUUUUGGCCUUCAUAAACUUACCAAGGAAAAGAUGAAUAGGUUUAUUAAACAAAAUACUGUCUCCCUUCUUUGAUUUCUUAAGGAGCACUCAGAUACUAUAAAGAAAGACAUUUAAAAAAAACCUUCCCUUUCCUGUUACCAAGAUCAGGCUUAGGCAUUUCUUUUUCACAUGCAAAACUAGAAACAUAACAUUUUAGAGACUUGCAUCAUUCUGUUUCGAAGUGCAAAGUGGAACGCAGUACCCCACACAGCUUGUUUGGAUUUGCCUGCUGUUUUCAGCUACCAUGAACUGGUUCCUAUAUGUCCUUUCUAAUGCUCUCAAAGCUUGUUCAGUACCCUGCAAGUAGACAAGACACAUCUAUGCAGCUUCUUGCACUUAAAGCAAUCCCACCACUCUAUCGCACUGAAAUCUCAAAUAAAUGCUGCAUCUCUUCUCCCCACCCAGAAGAGUCACAGCUGCAGAGACUCCCAAUGACAGCCAGCCCACUCGCGUCAUCAGCCGAUUAUGCAUCAUUACCGUGCAUCAUGAAGUGGCAAAGUCACCCCCACACAUGAAAUAAUAAUGGUCUAACAGAUGUGAAAGUCAUUGCAUUUUUGUCUAUUGCUGUUGGAAGACUAACAACAGCAAAGAAGCAGAUUUGUAGAGAAAUCAUUUGGCAAAGAUUCUUUAGAGAACUUGAUGUGAGCCAAAAAUGGGUUGUUGUUUUUUAUUAUUACUGUUUUCCUGCUUUGAGGAGCUUUUGUGGCAACAUUUCUGACAUGUGUUUCA